rnacentral:rRNA from 1 species
AGGUUCUAACCUUGGCCCGUGAUCCGGGUCGGGGACAGUGCAUGGUAGGCAGUUUGACUGGGGCGGUCUCCUCCCAAAGCGUAACGGAGGAGUACGAAGGUACGCUAGGUACGGUCGGAAAUCGUGCUGAUAGUGCAAUGGCAUAAGCGUGCUUAACUGCGAGACCGACAAGUCGAGCAGGUGCGAAAGCAGGUCAUAGUGAUCCGGUGGUUCUGUAUGGAAGGGCCAUCGCUCAACGGAUAAAAGGUACUCUGGGGAUAACAGGCUGAUACCGCCCAAGAGUUCAUAUCGACGGCGGUGUUUGGCACCUCGAUGUCGGCUCAUCUCAUCCUGGGGCUGUAGCCGGUCCCAAGGGUAUGGCUGUUCGCCAUUUAAAGAGGUACGUGAGCUGGGUUUAAAACGUCGUGAGACAGUUUGGUCCCUAUCUGCCGUGGGCGUUGGAUAUUUGAAGGGGGCUGCUCCUAGUACGAGAGGACCGGAGUGGACGAACCUCUGGUGUACCGGUUGUCACGCCAGUGGCAUCGCCGGGUAGCUAUGUUCGGAAGAGAUAACCGCUGAAAGCAUCUAAGCGGGAAACUCGCCUUAAGAUGAGAUAUCCCUGGGGACUAGAUCCCCUUGAAGGGUCGUUCGAGACCAGGACGUUGAUAGGUCAGGUGUGUAAGCGCAGUAAUGCGUUCAGCUAACUGAUACUAAUUGCCCGUAAGGCUUGAUCCUAUAACG